GGGCGACUAGCUCAGUUGGUUAGAGCGCCGUCUUCACACGGCGGAGGUCUGCAGUUCGAGUCUGCAGUCGCCCA
rnacentral:tRNA from 1 species